rnacentral:rRNA from 1 species
CCUACGGGAGGCAGCAGUGAGGAAUAUUGGUCAAUGGGCGCGAGCCUGAACCAGCCAAGUCGCGUGAGGGAGGACGGCCCUACGGGUUGUAAACCUCUUUUGCCGGGGAGCAACGGGCGCCACGUGUGGCGUCACUGAGAGUACCCGGAGAAAAAGCAUCGUCUAACUCCGUGCCAGCAGCCGCGGUAAUAGGGAGGAUGCGUGCGUUAGCCGGAUUUAUUGGGGUUAAAGGGUGCGUAGGCGGAUCGGUAAGUCAGUGGUCAAAUGGAGAGGCGCACCCCCUUCCCGCCAUUGAAACGGGCGUUCGUGAGUGGAAGAGAAGUAUGCGGAAUGCGUGGUGUAGCGGUGAAAUGCAUAGAUAUCACGCAGAACCCCGAUUGCGAAGGCAGCAUGCCGGCUUCCGACUGACGCUGAGGCACGAAGGCCAGGGGAGCGAAAGGGAUUAGAUACCCCAGUAGUC